rnacentral:rRNA from 1 species
UACGUAGGGGGCAAGCGUUGUCCGGAUUUAUUGGGCGUAAAGAGCGCGUAGGCGGUUUGGUAGGUCUGCUGUGAAAACUCGGGGCUCAACCUCGGGACGUCGGCGGAAACCAUCUGGCUAGAGUCCGGAAGAGGAGAGUGGAAUUCCUGGUGUAGCGGUGAAAUGCGCAGAUAUCAGGAAGAACACCCGUGGCGAAGGCGGCGCUCUGGGACGGAACUGACGCUGAGGCGCGAAAGCGUGGGGAGCGAACAGG